AAAUGCCGCUGGGGGUGUCCGUGAGGCCAUCAUGCAUCACGGGCUGAGAGCAGACCCUUCGAACCUGACCCGGAUCAUGCCGGCGCAGGAAAGCCGGCGUGAGCUUCG
rnacentral:ncRNA from 2 species